rnacentral:rRNA from 1 species
UGGGGAAUAUUGCACAAUGGGCGCAAGCCUGAUGCAGCAACGCCGCGUGAACGAUGAAGGUCUUCGGAUCGUAAAGUUCUGUUGCAGGGGAAGAUAAUGACGGUACCAUAGGAGGAAGCCCCGGCUAACUACGUGCCAGCAGCCGCGGUAAUACGUAGGGGGCGAGCGUUGUCCGAAAUUACUGGGCGUAAAGGGUUCGCAGGCGGCAUGGCAAGUCCGAUGUAAAAGGCGAAGGCUCAACCUUCGUAAGCAUCGGAAACUGUCAAGCUUGAGUGAAGGAGAGGCAAGUGGAAUUCCUAGUGUAGCGGUGGAAUGCGUAGAUAUUAGGAGGAAUACCGGUGGCGAAGGCGACUUGCUGGACUUCAACUGACGCUGAGGAACGAAAGCGUGGGUAGCAAACAGG